GUACGAAGGGUGCAAGCGUUACUCGGAAUUACUGGGCGUAAAGCGUGCGUAGGUGGUUGCUUAAGUCUGUCGUGAAAGCCCUGGGCUCAACCUGGGAACUGCGAUGGAAACUGGGCGACUAGAGUGUGGUAGAGGGUAGCGGAAUUCCUGGUGUAGCAGUGAAAUGCGUAGAUAUCAGGAGGAACAUCCAUGGCGAAGGCAGCUACCUGGGCCAACACUGACACUGAGGCACGAAAGCGUGGGGAGCAAACAGGAUUAGAUACCCUGGUAGUCCACGCCCUAAACGAUGCGAACUGGAUGUUGGGUGCACUUUGGCACGCAGUAUCGAAGCUAACGCGUUAAGUUCGCCGCCUGGGGAGUACGGUCGCAAGACUGAAACUCAAAUGAAUUGACGGGG
rnacentral:rRNA from 1 species